CAACUCGGAUGAUACAGUAUCUCAGGGUUAUAUAGACAUAAAAAGCACAAGUUCAAGCAAGGAUGAGCAGGAAGGUUGCAGGAACGCUGUAAGUGAUCCUGAAAAAUAUAUUUGCACCAGGGAUGGUGCACCGUCUCGAGUUGCCAUUUUCAGAGAUAGGGAGAAGGAUCGUACUGACCCAGAUUAUGAUCGGAGUUAUGACCGGUAUGUAAGGAGCCUUCCAACUAAUCAUAACUUUAACUUAGCACCAUUCAAUAUGCAGAAGAUUCAACUCCCA
rnacentral:misc_RNA from 1 species